rnacentral:piRNA from 1 species
UACGGAAAAAAACAAUUCCUA